rnacentral:rRNA from 1 species
ACCCACCUUUGACAUGUAUGGAAGUUUCCAGAGAUGGAUUCGUGCUCGAAAGAGAGCCAUAACACAGGUGCUGCAUGGCUGUCGUCAGCUCGUGUCGUGAGAUGUUGGGUUAAGUCCCGCAACGAGCGCAACCCUUUGUCAUUAGUUGCUACAUUCAGUUGGGCACUCUAAUGAGACUGCCGGUGACAAACCGGAGGAAGGUGGGGAUGACGUCAAGUCCUCAUGGCCCUUAUAGGUGGGGCUACACACGUCAUACAAUGGCCGGUACAAAGGGUCGCAAACCCGCGAGGGGGAGCCAAUCCAUCAAAGCCGGUCGUAGUCCGGAUCGCAGUCUGCAACUCGACUGCGUGAAGUCGGAAUCGCUAGUAAUCGUGGAUCAGCAUGUCACGGUGAAUACGUUCCCGGGUCUU